UGAGCCAGCCGGGUGACCGCGGCGUCUCCCCCCCCGGGGGNUUCGCUGAGGAAGGUCGGGGCUCCACAGGGAAGGAUGCUGGCUAGCGGCCAGUCGGGGCGACCCGCAGGAAAGUGCCACAGAGAACAGACCGCCGAUGGCUUCGGCUUCCUUAGGGAAUCGGGGCACAGGUGAGGGUGAAACGGUGCGGUAAGAGCGCACCAGCGGCCGGGGCGACCCGGUCGGCUAGGCAAACCCCAUCCGGAGCAAGGCCGAACAGGGAGAGGGCGACCCGUCCGUGGACACUCCCAGGUAGGCCGCACAGAUGGAUGGUCACCCAUCCGGAUCCCCGCAAGGGGCCGGUGGACAGAACCCCGCCUACAGGCCGGCUCACCGU
rnacentral:RNase_P_RNA from 1 species